rnacentral:tRNA from 1 species
AUAAUUUAUCAGUGGUCAGGACAUUGGACUCCGAAUCCAGUAACCCGAGUUCAAAUCUCGGU